GACGAACGCUGGCGGCGUGCUUAACACAUGCAAGUCGAGCGGAAAGGCCCUUCGGGGUACUCGAGCGGCGAACGGGUGAGUAACACGUGAGUAACCUGCCCCAGACUUUGGGAUAACCCUCGGAAACGGUGGCUAAUACCGGAUACGACACAGCUUCGCAUGGGGUCUGUGUGGAAAGUUUUUCGGUUUGGGAUGGGCUCGCGGCCUAUCAGCUUGUUGGUGGGGUGAUGGCCUACCAAGGCGACGACGGGUAGCCGGCCUGAGAGGGCGACCGGCCACACUGGGACUGAGACACGGCCCAGACUCCUACGGGAGGCAGCAGUGGGGAAUAUUGCACAAUGGGCGGAAGCCUGAUGCAGCGACGCCGCGUGAGGGAUGACGGCCUUCGGGUUGUAAACCUCUUUCAGCAGGGACGAAGCGUAAGUGACGGUACCUGCAGAAGAAGCGCCGGCCAACUACGUG
rnacentral:rRNA from 1 species